CAGAAGUUUGGUCAGAGGGAUACUGAAUGAUUGUAUUGUCAUUUGCUGGUGAGUGUAUCUGGAGUAAUUCCAACAAAGUCUGGAAUAACCCUAUUGUACAUGGAAGAAGUUGGUGCUACAAUAUGGGUAAGAAAACACUCUGUGGGGCAUUUUUAAGCUAUUGAGAGAAGCUAAAAGCUAUUUAAAAAAGGAUGGGUUCUUAUCAUUCAUACAGCAUAUUUUCUGCUCACCUGUUGCUGAAGGCAAGGCUAUAGAUAGUGUUAUUUCAUUGUUUUAAAAAGUAAGGGGUAAAAUUAAGUCAGCCAGAUCCUUAUCUGGCAUAAAUUGGGGUUUGAAGUCAGUGAAGCUAAUCUUAUUUUUAUCAGUUGUACAUCUGGGCCAGAGGAUUCAGAAACGAUUUUUCUUAUGUUUCUCCUCGUAUUAACCCCUUCUUUACUUGUGAUGUUUCCUUCAAUCAAAACUUAAGAUUCUUCACGUUUACCUCAUCUCCUUUUUCCCCAAGUGCUUUUUUCCGCAGGAAGAGGCAAUCUGACAUCUUGCCUGAGAACAACCUUACUGGCCCUUCCUGGAUAGUGGUUUGUAGAAGGCACGGAUGAAUGCUUCCCCCUGUGAAGGGAGGACUCUCCCAUCAGAGAGAGUGACUGUGUUAUUUCACCUAAUGAUCUGGGAGGCUGGAUGCUUGGAAUUGCCUCUGAGGUUGGGUUUACUGCUGUGAAAGAGCAAUGUUAUGUUAAACUCAAAAAGCAAGACCUUAAUUUGAAUGUUCAAAAGGUUUGAUUUUAAACAAUGAAAGAGAAUCUGGAAAGUAAGUGUGUUUUGGAAGUGGAAAGAAAAAUCAGAAUCCUAAUGAAUAUACAAUACUUUUAAUAUAUGGAAUGCAUAUCUGACUUUGGGGAAAAGACUUUUUCUCCAUUUUGGCUCUUAUUUCUUCUGACAUAGAAACAUAAUACAAACCUAAAGUGUCUAAUCCAAGAAACAGCCACCAGAACCUUUGUAAUGCAAAUGAUCUGACUGUUCUAUAGUGUCUUUUUUCCAGAAGGGUCCCAAAGUGCUAUACAAAUUACAUGUGGCUACAUGAAUCAGUUCCCACACCACUGAAUUACAGGGAGCUCUGGGGAGCAGAACAUCUUUCUACCAGUGCACAGCAGCAUUACCCAGCAUUUUGGGAUGGCAAGCAGAAAAUACAAAGGAGGCAAAAUAACAAAAUAAGAAAAGAUGUAGCAGAUUGAAAUUAAGAUUCAAAGAGGACUGAGGAAAACGAUAAAAUCAGCUCCGUGUUUUUCUUUGAUGGUGUCAUCAGAGCUGGUGAUGCAUAUUCUUAUUGAUAGCUAUAGGUGGCCUUCAUAAUAUAUGUCAAUAGGGUUCCCAGGACUUGGGCAAGGGUAUCUGGGCAGGAAACAGCACUGCUCUGUGUUUCUGGCUCACGGACCAUUUCUCUCUGCAGCCCUUCCUCCUGUGUGCCCAAGUUUCCGCAAAGAGGACCCCUGGUAGAAAGGUGCUGGGUUACCUAUAACCUGUCCACACGUGAUUCUUGCGGGGAAUGCUCGUGGUUUGCCUGAAACGGGUGAGUUUGGCUCCUGUGCCACCUACCCCGCUCCCAACUGCCCCAGCGUCAGGCAACAAGGUUGACUCGUGGAGCUAGAGCCAGGCUCAAACCUCACCGCUGCCCUUAGCGGGAAUGCUCUCCUGGCUGCCACCGCUCCAGCCAGAGCCCCCCGGAGCAGAGAGGGGAGGAGGGACCAAAAUAAGGGGGGAGGGAGAAAGAGCAGAGAGUUUCCCACAAAAACAGUUCAACAAAAAUCAACAGGCCUUUCCAAUCCUAUUUUUUCAUUUCUUUAACCAAAAUGUUUUGGGUUUCUCAUAAAAGUUUAGAAAUGGAUACUCUUUUCUUUCCUCCCAGGCUCUUAGGAUUGAAAGUUGAAACAUGAAAAAAAUUCUUUGCUCCAUCUGGUUUCACGUCAGGUGAAAAUUUAGUCUGACAAAGCUAAAACUUGCCACAGAUCUGAGUUUUGAGACUGGGCUUUUAUGUGACAAGCACUCAAGUAUUGUCAUUGCAACUGUUGUUUCCCACCUAAAUUCUGUUAAAUUGCCAUUUUUAUGUUGAAAAGAGAUUUGUUCUUUUUUUAAUGGGUAGCCUGCAAUUCACUGUUGUAAGAAAUUGUGUUGGGCUAAUCAUUUCCAGAGUCUGCCUGAAUGCAGUGAUGGUGACAGUGCUGCUACUUUGUGUGUAAUAGUUCCUUCACUUGUGGGACACACACUAGGUAAUUAAAAAAGUCUGUAAACAAAAGCUGAGGUGCAGCUUUUCAGCAGAGUGAUGCAGAGUGACAUUGUGGUAGAUGAUUAGUCUUCUUGGGAGCAAAAUCAAUGAAAGCAGCAGUAGUCAGAUGUCUUCUGGCAUAAUUUUUCCUGUGUGCAGGUGAAGUGUUUUACAGGAGUCUUAGGAGCUGUCGUUAUUGUCACAAUUUUCUACCGGCUCUACAGUCAACAUUUACAAAAGUGUCCAACAGAUUUGAGUGCGCUCCUGUGGAUAAAACCUGUGUAUGGGAUUUAGGCAGAGGACAACUAACUGGAAAGACAAACGCAUCUUACUUUAAGAAAAUACUCAGAUGCAAGCUCACCAGAGUACAAUUACCAGUGUCGUUUAUGUAUGUGUAGAGGUGAGUGUCUCAUGUUAUUCAUACAACUUUCAAGUCAAGGGCCCCCACAGAGAGGCCCCCUUGAGCGAGUGGCUCUUUCUCUUCUGAGCUGGUUGGCAGAACCUAAGGGGGAUGCUGGGGUAGACGAAAGCUGCUCGUGUGUGGGCAAGGAUCCCACCCCCGAGUUCAAGUGAUAAGGCAGCUGAGUGACUGAGUCUGUGUCAGAGGGGAGGAUGCUUGUGUUAAUACUGGCUCAUAGCUACACUUUGAUUUUACUCUGUCUAUAUGAUGAACCAUAUGCAAGACUUUCCUUCGGUGAUAUUAUCAUAUUUUUAUUUGAUGUGUAAAUCAAAGGUAUGCUGCCUUUUAAUUAAUAUUAUGUUCUCCUACACAUUUGUUUUCUGGUGUAAAUAAGGGCUAUCUAGAAGGUCAAGGGCCAGAGAGAAAGAUGGUAUCUUGUAGCUUGAAUUAAUCUAGAAAUAAGGAAAUAGAUUUUCAGAGAAGAAAACAGUAUAAGCCUGGCCUGAAUUGGAUCAGGCCCAAUAUCCUUCUGAGAAAGAAAUAAAGGGCUUGAACCUUCUCCCACUGAGAGCAAUUACAAACCUGCAGUUGACUAUAAUAGCUGUGUGUGAUAGGGGCAUAAUAAAUUUAAGUUCUGAGAUAAUCAAGGAGGACUGUGUAAUCUUCUGCUAAUGCUUCUGAAAGAUGCUCUGGUAAAAUGCUAGGCAGGAAGAGCACUGCACUACCCUGUUAAUAGAAGACAAAAGCUUAAGCCACUUGCUUGCUGCACUCAAAUGUAGCCAAUCCUGUGAGUGUGAUUUUAAUGUCAGUGAUUUAAAAUGAAAAAGUUCAGAAAAGAAAAUGUGUGGAAUGAUGACUGAAUGCUGUAACUGCGAGGGAGUAGGGAGGAGGGGAGAGGGAAGAAGUUUUGCAAAGAUACUGGUCUGAUUUUCUGUAUAGUACAUAAGAACAUUAAAAGGCCAUUUUAGCCAAAGGCCUCCCAGCUUGGUGUCCUGUUUUUGACAGAGGCUGAGAGGAGAUACUCGUGGAUGGUACAGGAGCAGGGCACUCACACAACAUGCAAUCCCAGCCUCCAGCAAUGUACAGCUCAGGGAUUUCACAUCAAUAAAGUACUCGUCAAGGAAAAGCUAUUGCUAUCCAUUUAAAUGUCUUCCUGAAACUCACCUUAUUCAUAGUGUAGCUUAUUCAAAGACAUUCAUGAGGCAUUUGCAAAAUAUAAGGUUCACUGAGUUUAACAGAGUGAGCUAAAAUGCUUUCCGACCUUAGCUGAAAUUAGAUAAAAAUAUUAGUUCUGAUCUAAAAUGCCACUGUAGCCAUUACCUAUCUUUCCGCUGCCUUAGGUAGGAUUUGGCUCAGAACCUCUAUGCCCUCUAUUAUUUAUCAAUUUAAAGUAAGUGUGACAAUAGCUUUUUUUUUUUUCCCUUUUCCUGAACUGUCUGACUGGCAAAGGUGUUGCUGUAACCUUGCUUUUCUUCUUGCCUCAUCUCUUCUGUUGAUUGUCCCUAGUUAUACCUUAGCUAAAAUUCAGAUUGUAGGUUUCAGAAAAGAGACACCUUUUUAUUGUCUUCUGUUUUGAAUCCUAUAAAAUAAUAGUAGUAACGGAUCCUAGAACUUUGUCAGUAUUUUGUAUGAAGGUAAAGAUAUAUACAUAGAUUUUCUGCUAUAGAAAGCAUAUGAAGUACUAUAUAUAUGGCAGAAUUACCUACCAGCAAUAGGAGAAUCCUUUGAAAAGAAAACCUAGAAGUUGUUUUAGCAGAGAAAUAGGCAAUAUUUUCUGUUAACUGGAAUUUGUUCAGAAGUCAAGAAUAUAUCAAAUGCCACUGAAGAUUGUUAAAUUUGAGGGGGAAUGUUAGGUAAUUUCCUAUAAAUUAUAUUGAUAUGUAAUUUUAUAUGCAGAUAGACCAGUGGUGGGAGUUUUGCUGUCUUUGCUUUCCUCUCUUCUAUUUUGCAGCUUGUGUAUUUCUAUUGGCAUAAUUUGUGAACAUGAAAAUACAUGUUGAAUCUCUAGUGGGCAGCUGAUGGAUAAGAAAACAUAAACCAAAAAUGCUUUAGCUUAUUCCAGAUAAAGACAUUGAUGUCCUAAGUUAACUUUGAGCUGAUGUGCUUUAAGUUUCAAAGCUGAAACACAUGUGAGGUUGUAUGUGGUAAUGCUGCUGUGGAUGUAAUUAGUGUAAAUGGGAUUUAACCUAUCGUGUUUCAUACAGGCAAGUUCUGUAACCACCUGGCUAACAUGUAUAUGCUAAUCCUUCUCUCCUAAUAAGAAGUAGAUUUUACACUGAAAGUGAAAUGAAACAUAUAAAGUCAUGCAUUAUAUAUAUUAAAUAUAUAUAUCAGUUUGUAUGCAUAUAAAAACAGACUUUGGAGUUUUGGAAAUCAGUUUUUGAAGGGUCAUUUCUCAUUAAAUUUUCUGAAAAAGCUUGGUGGAUUCAUACACUUGUUUAGUAUAUACAUUUGUAUGAAUCAAGAUUUUAUUUGCAGACUGAGAGGCUCCAGUGCUUAAGGGAACUACCGACAGCUGAAUGUCAAAUCCAGUUUCUGGUUAAAUGUUAUCCUUGGUUGUCUUCAGGAACACAGACUUUACAGCCAAUAUUUUUUCUACAGUUUUCCUGGUUUGUGCAUCAUGUUUUCCUUAUCCUUCCCUAGACACAGCAAAAAUGGGCUCCAUUUUAUAAGCACAGUAGUCAGCAAUUCCUAGAAACGUGAAUAUUUGUUUUAAAAAGGAAAAUAUUGCAAGCGAAUGAUUAAAAAUUCCGCUUUCAGAAGUUAAUAAAAUUUCUAUUUGUAACUGGAA